rnacentral:rRNA from 1 species
AUUGAACGCUGGCGGCAUGCUUUACACAUGCAAGUCGAACGGUAACAGGGUGCUUGCACCGCUGACGAGUGGCGAACGGGUGAGUAAUGCGUCGGAACGUGCCGAGUAGUGGGGGAUAACGCAGCGAAAGUUGUGCUAAUACCGCAUACGUACUGAGGUAGAAAGUGGGGGACCUUCGGGCCUCACGCUAUUCGAGCGGCCGACGUCUGAUUAGCUAGUAGGUGAGGUAAAGGCUCACCUAGGCGACGAUCAGUAGCGGGUCUGAGAGGAUGAUCCGCCAAACUGGGGCUGGGAUACUGCCCUGACUCCUACGGGGGGCAGCAGGGGGGAGUGUUGGACAAUGGGCGAAGCCUGAUCCAGCCAUGCCGCGUGUAUGAAGAAGGCCUUCGGGUUGUAAAGGACUUUUGUCAGGGAGGAAAUCCCUAGUGCUAAUAACACUGGGGGAUGACAGUGCCUGAAGAAUAAGCACCGGCUAACUACGUGCCAGCAGCCGCAGUAA